rnacentral:rRNA from 1 species
GAUGAACGCUGGCGGCGUGCUUAACACAUGCAAGUCGAACGGAAAGGCUUCUGCUUGCUUGUGUACUCGAGUGGCUAACGGGUGAGUCACACGUGUAUCAUCUGCCCGGUACUUCGGGAUAUUCCUUGUAAACUUGGUCUACUACCUGUUAUUCCGAUUGUUUGUAUGCCAUUGUGGAUAUUUUUUUCGGUGUGGGUUGAGCUCGGGGCCUAUCAGCAUGUUGGUUGGGUCAUGGCCUACCAAGGCUUCGCCGGGUAGCCGGCCUGAGAAGGUGGACGGCGACAUGGGGAAUGAGAUAAGGCGCAGAAGCAGACGGGAAGAAGAAGUGGGGAAUAUUGGACAAAGGGAGCAAGCCUGAGGGAGCGACGCCGCGUGGGGGAUGACGGACUUCGGGUUGUAAACACCUAGCGAUAGGGACGAAGCGGAAGUGACGGUAGUUGGAGAAGAAGCACCGGCUAACUACGUG